rnacentral:rRNA from 1 species
UACGGAGGGUGCGAGCGUUAAUCGGAAUUACUGGGCGUAAAGCGUGCGUAGGUGGUUUGUUAAGUCAGAUGUGAAAGCCCCGGGCUCAACCUGGGAACUGCAUUUGAUACUGUCAGGCUAGAGUGUGGUAGAGGGAAGUGGAAUUCCGGGUGUAGCGGUGAAAUGCGUAGAUAUCCGGAGGAACACCGGUGGCGAAGGCGGCUUCCUGGACCGACACUGACACUGAGGCACGAAAGCGUGGGUAGCAAACAGG